CAGCCUUAAGCUCUGAAAGACCCAUCCAGAACAGGUGGAGCUCCAGCUGCAAAGAGCUUGAAAGUCAAAAGAACCACCUCAAAUGGCAAGAUUCCUACGCAGCCGGAGCCGGAGCCUCAGUCGCCGCCGUCGGAGGAGGCGACGGGGAGGUAAAGGAGGAAGGAGGAGAAGGGGAAGACGUGGCCGCGGCAGAAGGAGAGGUCGCAGACAUGGCCGCAGAAGGAGAAGAGGGAGAGGCAAGAAAGAUUAAAUCCCAUCUACUAUGAUUCCUUCAUCUCACAUUCCUGGCACUGCCUGCCUCUUUAGAGAACCUGCCAAACAAUGAAAACCUCCUCACGAGAACACCCAGAUUGACUCCCCCGAGAAACAACGAGGCUGAAACAAUUUGAACAAUACCACCUGUCAAUAAACACUGAUGUUUUA